rnacentral:tRNA from 2 species
GCCACCCUAGCUCAGCUGGUAGAGCAGCUGAUUCGUAAUCAGCAGGUCGUCGGUUCGAAUCCGAUGGGUGGCUCCA